AUUGUGUUGUUUAAGUGUUCCCUUUAUUUUGUUUGAGCAGUGUAUAUUUAUUUUGUAUUUUUUAACUUCCAGGGCUGAGAAAGAAUGUUGGGAACAAGUCUGCUUGCUCCCCGGCAGUUUAGACCACCACUUCCUUAUGACUCAUCCCUUGACGGCUACGUUCCCAUGGAAAGGGAGCUGAGCCUGACAUAUUUUACACUCCCACAUCUGCUCUUGAGGUUUGCGAUUUGUCCAUCAACCAACAGGAAGAUUAACCCCAACCUGCCCACUGUGUGAAGGU